UGUCACGAAUCGCUGCACUCGUCGCUGUCAGCAGAACAGCAGCGACAGAGGAAUUUACCAAACACUGGAAUAGCACGAAUAAUUUAUUUAUCUUCGAAGUUUUUGCAGAGACUUUCCAUACCUGGCCCAGCUAAAGUUGGUUAUCGUUUGUUUUUAUUUUGUUUAAUUGUAAAUACAGUUGCUUAUUUCGUGCGGAGUCGUGAGAAUUAUAAAUAUAUCGACACCAGUGCUGUUCAAAUAUGGUGGACAAGUUAGUUAACAGCGAAGCCAAUGCUCGGCGGAUACAGAUGGUGGAAAACUGUUUCGGAACAUCCGGGCAGCCGUUAUUCCUUCCUGGACGUGUACUUGUAGGCGAAGGUGUUCUUACAAAGAUGUGUCGCAAGCGCCCCAAAGCACGACAAUUUUUCUUGUUUAACGAUAUUUUGGUUUAUGGUAAUAUUGUUAUUGGCAAGAAAAAAUACAACAAGCAACACUUAAUUCCACUCGAGGAAGUUCAAUUACAGGCGCUAGAAGAUAAUGGGCAGUAUCGGAAUGGAUGGCUGAUACGUACAGCCACGAAGUCUUUCGCAGUGUAUGCUGCGACACAAACAGAAAAGCAAGAAUGGAUGGCACACAUCAACAAGUGCAUCGAAGAUUUGUUGCGCAAAAGCGGGAAAAAACCAGUUGAAACACAUGCUGCUGUAUGGGUUCCCGACAGCGAAGCAACCAUCUGCAUGCACUGUAAAAAGACUCAGUUUACUAUGAUCAACAGAAGGCAUCACUGCCGAAACUGCGGAGCGGUUGUAUGCGGUCCUUGUUCAUCGAAAAAGUUCAUUCUUCCGGGUCAAAGUAAUAAGCCUCUGCGCGUAUGUCUCGAUUGCUACGAUAACCUAACCUCGAUUAAGCGGGAUGGAAAUAAAGCUCAUGCCGGCAACAACAACAAACCAGCAAACUCUACCGAAAGUUCUGGCGAAGACGAUUCUGGAGACGACGAGGAAACUCUUAAGGAUAAUGUUACCCACGACGAAAGUUUUAAGAUGCAUUACGCACAUGCAACGUUAUGUGUGUAAUAAACAAAACAAGCAACAACAACAAAAAACAAAUCAAUUAGAAACAUCGCUUUGAUAUUAACGAAACCGUAAAUAGAAGGUUGUACAUGAUUAUUUAUUUUCUUUGCUGUAAUUCUCCUGAAAGUUCAAAGCCCAAGUUUUACGCCGACGGUAAACUUGAAAAAUAACACUGUAAGUGCUUUAAUGAAUCCUUCAUAGCGUAAUGCGUGCGCACUCGUGCUAGUAAGUACAUUUUCGGGAGAACAUUCUGUACUGCAUCCAAUAAUCGUAUAUGCAGCAAAAUAUGAAACUGGAACCAAUUUCCAUUUGUUGUGCACUCAUAUAUUCAUUUUGAUAAUGGUUAAAUUAAUUGGGUAUCUUAUCAUACAUGUUAUACUUUUAAUUACAAUGAAAGAUUAACUUCAAACAUAACAGCAGAGGAAUAAAGUUAAUACUUUUGAUUUAUUUAAGUCACAUGAGAGAAAUAGAAGAAUAAAAAUAUAUAGAUAUUUCGGUAA